AACGAACGCUGGCGGCAUGCCUAACACAUGCAAGUCGAACGAGACCUUCGGGUCUAGUGGCGCACGGGUGCGUAACGCGUGGGAACCUGCCCUUAGGUUCGGAAUAACUCCCCGAAAGGGGUGCUAAUACCGGAUAAUGUCUUCGGACCAAAGAUUUAUCGCCUUUGGAUGGGCCCGCGUUGGAUUAGCUAGUUGGUAGGGUAAAAGCCUACCAAGGCGACGAUCCAUAGCUGGUCUGAGAGGAUGACCAGCCACACUGGGACUGAGACACGGCCCAGACCGGUACGCAAGGUAGCAGUAGGGUAUAUUGGAGGAUGGGCGAUGGCCUGAUCCAGCCAUGCGGCGUGAGUGAUGAAGGCCUUAGGGUUGUAAAGCUCUCUUACCCGAGAUGAUAAUGACAGUACCGGGAGAAUAAGCUCCGGCUAACUCCGUG
rnacentral:rRNA from 1 species